rnacentral:rRNA from 1 species
CUGGCGGCAGGCUUAACACAUGCAAGUCGAGCGGAGAUGAGGUGCUUGCACCUUAUCUUAGCGGCGGACGGGUGAGUAAUGCUUAGGAAUCUGCCUAUUAGUGGGGGACAACAUUUCGAAAGGAAUGCUAAUACCGCAUACGCCCUACGGGGGAAAGCAGGGGAUCUUCGGACCUUGCGCUAAUAGAUGAGCCUAAGUCGGAUUAGCUAGUUGGUGGGGUAAAGGCCUACCAAGGCGACGAUCUGUAGCGGGUCUGAGAGGAUGAUCCGCCACACUGGGACUGAGACACGGCCCAGACUCCUACGGGAGGCAGCAGUGGGGAAUAUUGGACAAUGGGGGGAACCCUGAUCCAGCCAUGCCGCGUGUGUGAAGAAGGCCUUUUGGUUGUAAAGCACUUUAAGCGAGGAGGAGGAGCUCUAGAUUAAUACUCUAGAUGCUUGGACGUUACUCGCAGAAUAAGCACCGGCUAACUCUGUGCCAGCAGCCGCGGUAAUACAGAGGGUGCAAGCGUUAAUCGGAUUUACUGGGCGUAAAGCGUGCGUAGGUGGUCUUUUAAGUCGGAUGUGAAAUCCCUGAGCUUAACUUAGGAAUUGCAUUCGAUACUGGGAGACUAGAGUAUGGGAGAGGAUGGUAGAAUUCCAGGUGUAGCGGUGAAAUGCGUAGAGAUCUGGAGGAAUACCGAUGGCGAAGGCAGCCAUCUGGCCUAAUACUGACACUGAGGUACGAAAGCAUGGGGAGCAAACAGGAUUAGAUACCCUGGUAGUCCAUGCCGUAAACGAUGUCUACUAGCCGUUGGGGCCUUUGAGGCUUUAGUGGCGCAGCUAACGCGAUAAGUAGACCGCCUGGGGAGUACGGUCGCAAGACUAAAACUCAAAUGAAUUGACGGGGGCCCGCACAAGCGGUGGAGCAUGUGGUUUAAUUCGAUGCAACGCGAA